rnacentral:rRNA from 1 species
UGAAGCGGGAAGAGCUCAAGCUGAAAAUCUUCGGAAUUGUAGUCUAUAGGUACGGACUCGUGUGGAGCCAGGUAUAAAUCCGUUCUUGGAAUUGGGUGCCAGAGAGGGUUAGAGCCCCGUCUUUGACUUGGUGAGCCAUGCGUGGCGAGUCUUUACUAGAGAGUCGGCUUGCUUGGGAAUGCAGGUCAAAAUGGGUGGUAAACUUCAUCUAAAGCUAAAUAUUGGCGAGAGACCGAUAGCGAACAAGUACUGUGAAGGAAAGAUGGAAAGAACUUUGAAAAGAGAGUGAAAAAGGGCUUGAAAUUGUUAAGAGGAGAAGUGAUUGGAGCAUAUCAUACCUUCUAGGAAAAAUAUCUGGGACUUGUCCUGGGAAUGAAUUUCUAGUCGGUUGGUCAGCAUCGGUUCAAGCUUGGGGAGAAUGCUUCUACUGCGGGACCUAGUCCUGUGGUAGUCGUGAAACCCGGGGUCGGACCGAGGCACAAAGAACGCGCAUAGCGGCCGGCUGCUAGCCCUUCUUCGUUGCGACGUAACACUCCUAGAGGGUUGCUCGUCUCGUUGUUGAUGCAAGGAGUGCAGGACUGCGUUCUGAAGAUGCUGGCACAAAUGGCUUCAAUCAGCCCGUCUUGAAACACGGACCAAGGAGUCUAACACAUAUGCAAGUAGUAAGGUGGCAAACCUUGGAUGCGCAAUGAAAGUAAACGUAGGUGGGAUUCGCAAGAUGCACCAUCGACCGACCAGGAUCAUCAGUGAAAGGUUUGAGUAAGAGCAUAUUUGUUGGGACCCGAAAGAUGGUGAACUAUGCCUGAAUAGGGUGAAGCCAGAGGAAACUCUGGUGGAGGCUCGUAGCGGUACUGACGUGCAAAUCGUUCGUCAAAUUUGGGUAUAGCGGCGAAAGACUAAUCGAACCAUCUAGUAGCUGGUUCCCUCCGA